rnacentral:rRNA from 1 species
UACGUAGGGUGCAGGCGUUAAUCGGAAUUACUGGGCGUAAAGCGUGCGCAGGCGGCUCCUUAAGUCAGAUGUGAAAUCCCCGGGCUUAACCUGGGAACUGCGUUUGAAACUGGGGAGCUAGAGUGUGGAAGAGGGGGGUGGAAUUCCAGGUGUAGCAGUGAAAUGCGUAGAGAUCUGGAGGAACACCGAUGGCGAAGGCAGCCCCCUGGGCUAACACUGACGCUCAUGCACGAAAGCGUGGGGAGCAAACAGG